rnacentral:rRNA from 1 species
UACGUAGGGGGCUAGCGUUGUCCGGAAUCAUUGGGCGUAAAGAGCGUGUAGGCGGCCAGGUAGGUCCGUUGUGAAAACUCGAGGCUUAACCUCGAGACGUCGAUGGAAACCAUCUGGCUAGAGUCCGGAAGAGGAGAGUGGAAUUCCUGGUGUAGCGGUGAAAUGCGCAGAUAUCAGGAAGAACACCCGUGGCGAAGGCGGCUCUCUGGGACGUGACUAACGCUGAGACGCGAAAGCGUGGGGAGCAAACAGG